rnacentral:tRNA from 1 species
GUCUCUGUGGCGCAAUCGGUUAGCGCGUUCGGCUGUUAAUCGAAAGGAUGGUAGUUCGAGCCCACCCAGGGACG